rnacentral:lncRNA from 1 species
AUUACCCCAAAACCCAUUAUUUUAUUUAUUUCUUAAGGGUUUACCCUAAGAAUCAACUAUCCCUCCUUCCUAAGGAUUCAUCCUAAGGAAUAGACACAAAGUCACCUCGUGACCGGGGUUUAUACAACGGGCACUAAUUCCAUAGCUGCCAAAGUUUAUUCAACAUGUGCUAAGUCCAUAGCUCUCAUUUAUCGACAGUAUUAUUUACAGGUGUUCUCUCCUGCAAUACAUGUCAAUGGGUUUUAGAGUACAACAAAUGAACAUAUAGUUCAUUACACCUACAGGUUGCGGGCCUGCUAGUGUUCCAUAGACUGUCUAGAAUAGUCCAUGGUUGUCAUCCAUACUCUGCUGAAUGACGGGGGCCAACAAUUUGGGUAAGUGAUUCUCUCAAAUUUUCACCACUCACCCUCAACUCAUGAUCAAUAUUAUUGAUCAUCUCCUUUAUCCAACUCACCUUUCAUCAUACCCACUAUUUCAUCUACCCANUUAAACAAUUAAAAUAUUUACACAUAACACGUAUUUCAAGGUAAAUACAUCAUAUCUAUGUGUAAAUUGAUAGUAACUACACACUCACUUGAUUUAAUGCAAACCGGGCAGCAAUUCGUUUCCUAAAACGAUCGUUUUUAAUAAAACCGGGAGUUUUACUAAGAAAAAUUCUGAGUAUGCUGAAAUUGGUGGUUUUGAUGUUAGACUGAGCACACAGUCAAGGUUUGAUAACAAGAUUAUAAAGAAGAAACGUGUUAUAUGUAAUCGUGGUGGUAAACAAAAAAAAGAAAUCUUGUGACACAUUAGGUACAAGUGGUGUUAGGAGGAAACGAAAUUCAAAUUCAAGAGCUAUUGGUUGUCAAGCAAAGAUUAUAUUUGAAUCUGUGUAUGGAAGUCCAGAUUANGGAACCACAUGUUGCAGAUCCGAGGGCUCGCAGGGGAAGGCUUGCACGAGGGCUGCACGUGUGAAGGCUUGUUGGCUUCCUUUGAUUGGACCGAUGUCUACUGGUCCGAAGUCGGCUUGGUGGUGGCGUCCGCAGGCGAGGGUGCGCAGGUGCGAGGGACUCGGUGGCAGCCUCUGAUNGGACUCGUGACCCAUUUGCGAGGCUCAGACACGAGGAUAGUACAUAUGUCGGACUGCUAGUGGACCGCGAUUACUGUUCAUGCGAUGGUGACUCAGCAGAUUUCGCCACGUGGCAUAUGCGAGGCGAGGACAUGUGGCAAAAGUGUGACUAUGCGAAUUUUCUCGAUUUUUCGCGCCAAAACUUCUAAAAUUCAUAACUUUCGCAUACGAGCUCCGUUUUUGACGUUCUUUAUAUGCACGCAUAGCUAAAAUUACGCUCUACAACUUCCGUUUAGACUUCAUCGGCUAAUUUUGAAUUUAAAUUUUAUAUUAUUAUUUUUAGCAGACCGGGACAGGAAAUCAGUUAAAAAUUCAUAACUUCUUCAUCCGACGUCCGUUUUCGUCAGACAUUUUACCGUUGUGCUCCUAAUGACGAGACCUUCAAUUCUCAUUUAGGUUAUGUCGGCUAAAAACCGCUCGAUCUAGAAUUCGAGUUUUUAGUUGUCUACUGCUAAGCUGAAACUUCGAAAAAUCAUAACUUCCUCAUACGAAGUCAGAUUUGGGCGUUCUUUUUAUCGAACUUCUCGGUUUAACGAAUACUAUGACUUUCGUUUAGAUCACUAAGGCUAAAAAGUACUUUAUCGAAAAAUCACUUUUUACGACAUUCAGCAUCGUGCUGGUUUUGUCGCGAAACUUCGACAGGUCAUAACUUCUUCGUUAUAACUCGGAUUUCGGUAUUCUUUAUAUCCCCGAAAUCCUUGUUUCGACCACUACAACUUUAUGUAAAGAUAUCGGCUUUAUCUAAUAUUUAUUUUUGACGCUCAUUUUUAUUCUUAAUUAAUUAAACCCUAAUAAUUAAGCAUAAAACACAUAAUUCACAUAAAAUUCACAUAAUUCCUUUUCAUUUCUUCUAAAUGAGUUACAAAGGUUAACCUAGACCAUUAUGUCAAUAUUAAUGCCUAGCCUAGAAACACGGGCGUUACAACUCUCUCCCCCUUAGGAUGAUUCCGUCCCCGGAAUCACACAACGACAAACAACUACGGGUAGCGACUCACUAUGUCACUCUCCGUUUCCCAGGUGGGAUUUGGCCUAUUUAUAUGUUUCCAACGUACAGGCACUAAAUCGACUAUCUUACGUUACAACUUCUUAGUCUUCUGGUUAACGAUUGCCUUAGGUUCUCCAAUUAACCUCUUGUUCUCGUCCAACCUUAAUUCAGAAAUGGGAAUUAUGUCGGGUACACCUCCCGUGAACUUUCUCAGAUAACACACAUGAAAGGUGUUAUGAAUACUCUCUAGUUCUUCCGGUAAUUCUAACUUGUAAGCUUGAUUCCGGAUUCUCUAAAGAACUUUAAAUGGUCCAAUAAACCUUGGACUCAACUUUCCCCUUCUACUAAAUCUUAUAAGUCCCUUCCACGACGAGACUUUAAGUGAAACCGAAUCUCCAACUUCGAAUGAUAUCGGUUGUCUUUUCUUGUCAGCAUAGCUCUUUCUAACAUCUUUUUCCUAGUCACUUACAACUUUUCAGCAAUCUAAUGGACUAUUUCAAGUCCCAUAAACUGCUUUUCCUCAGCUUCCAGCCAACAUGAUGGCAUUCGACACUUUUCCCAAUACAAAGCGUGAUAAGGUGCCAUCUUAAUGCUUGAGUGGAAAUUAUUAUUAUAGGAGAAUUCUACUAGACGUAAGUGUUCAUCCAAGUUACCUUGGAAUUCUAGGGUAUAUGCUCUCAGCAUAUCCUCCAAUGUUUGAAUCGUUCGUUCGCUCUGACCAUCGGUUUGCGGAUGGUAAGUUGUACUCAAACACAACUUAGUACCCAAUUCCUCUUGUAGACUCCUCCAAAACCUUGAGGUAAAACGGCUGUCACGAUCGGAUACAAUCGUCAACGAAACACCAUGAAGCCUCACACUUUCCUUCACAUAAGAAUUCGCAAGUUUAUCCAUAGACCAUUUCUCUUUGGCUGUAUGAAAUGUGCACUCUUAGUGAAGCGAUCAACGACCACCCAAAUCAGGUCGUGACCGUUCCUUGUUCCGGGUAGUUUAGUCACAGAAUCCAUAGUGAUACCUUCCCAUUUACCCAUGGGUACAGGUAAAGGAUCUAAAGUCUUAUAUAGUUUCUGAUGUUAUCCCUUAACCCUAGCAUAAGUUACACACUUAGCCACAUACUUUAGCAACUUCGAGCUUCAUCGUCGGCUACAAGUAAUAGGGUUUUAGAUCCCUAUACAUUUUCGUACUGCCGGGAUGAAUCGAGUACAUGGUCUUGUGAGCUUCUUCCAUCAGAAGACCUCUUAUUCCUCCCGUCUUAGGUACCCAAAUCCUAUCUUUGAAUACCUCCAUUCCUUGACCGUUUGUACCAAACACCAACGUUUUACUCAAACGUUCCUCCUUUCGGUCAUUUUUCUCUAAAGCUUCCUCUUGAGCUUUCUUUAUACUUUUCACAAUUGUCAAGACAACUUUAAUUCUUAACGCUCUUGGCCCUUUUCUUUUCAAGACUUACCUUCCGACUGAGAGUAUCAGUAACAACAUUUGCUUUACCAGGGAGGUAAAGUAUCUCAUAGUCGUAGUCCUUGAGUAAUACUAGCCAGCGUCGUUGUGUGAUGUUCAAUUCCUUCUGAUCAAAGAGAUAUUGGAGACUCUUAUGAUCAGUGAAAAGUUUACACUUUUUGCCAUAAAGAUAAUGCCUCCAUAUCUUUAGGGCGAAUACUACCGCUACCAACUGCAAAUUGUAAGUAGGGUAGUUCUUUUCAUGCUCUUUCAAUUGCCUCGAUGCAUACGCUAUCACCUUAUCCCUUUGGGUUAGAACACAUCCUAACCCAACUCUAGAGGCAUCACUAUAAACUGUGCAGUCAUCAACUCCUUUAGGUAUCGAAAGAAUCGGUGCUUAACACAACUUCUUCUUUGACUUCUUAAAGCUUCCUAUGCUUCUCCUUCCAAGUAGAGAUAGCUCCUUGGUGGGUCAAAGCUGUCAAUGGAGUCGCGAUCGAAGAAAAGCCUUGGAUAAUUCAGUAAUAAUAUCCAGCUAAUCCUAAAAAGCUUUAGAUCUUCAUAGGACCUUCAAUCGUAACCUUCGAGUUACAAAAUAAAUCCUUAUUGAGGACUCCUUCUUCUUCUUGGAAUAAGUACUUUCCUUCAUUUAUUGUAACAGACCGAUGGGUCAUGUUCUAAUGAUCUCUCAUUGUAUACUACACUACUUAGACUCAGAUCUCCUAGGGAUAAAUGUCAGAACAAAUUAUACCUUCCUUCAUGUCCUAAUGUGAUACAAUCACCGUUCAACAUGUAUCAUUUGUAACUACCAACUUCUUUAACGAUGAGUGCGAUACUUCAAUUGAUCGCUCUGAUCAUCUUUCAUUUCAAUCUUUUGGCUUAAGUCAAAUGUUACAUCGAACUUGGUUCUAUAAACCACAUAAUAAACUCAUCGUAGUCGGACUCAAUUUGAUAUGACCUCUAAGCUCGGAAUAACAAUCAUCUUCUUAGUCAUUACCGAAACGAUGACAGACUAGAACAAGACGGAAUCAAAUAAUAGCUUCUUGGUAACCUUGUGACUUUCCCUGAUCCAAGUGCGAGUCUUGUGCUUCCAGUAGUAUAGAUCUCUACUACUAUUCCCACCUACUCAUACUCGUCCCAAGUACUGUCUCGCAGUACCCAAGUCCUAAAAUCACAAAACAAUUUAACACAUACAAAUGUGUCCACUUAAUCAUAAAAUUUUCCUAGACUAUACUAGGACUUCUUUCACGCGUAUCUUCAAUGAUCAACUCUACUUCAACUCGGUUGGUGAUGGAAAUUCCAGAUGAUUCGGACAACUUCAAAAAUUACACCAGCCAUUCUAUUCAUCAGACGACAAAACCAGGAUUUAUUUUAUUUCCUUGAAACGAUUACACAAAGGUUCAAGUUUACCCUAUAUUAUGCCUCUCAUAGGCUAAACUACUUGUUACUAUUCACAUUACUACUUCUUAACUUGAUCUUCGGGUAUCAAGUCUUGACUUCUACUUCCUAGUGUUAUUAAUCGCUUCUUCAAAGAUAUCCUGAAAUUCCUUUGGCAUUGGUGGUGCACUUGGCCUUGUUACUUCAUUAUUCUUCAGACAAUUCUUAGAAAUAUGGUCUUCUUCUUUAGAUCCGUAGCACACCUCCUUGGGAAUCGUACACUUAUUGGCGUAAUGGCCUAUUUCUCCACACUUAAAGCACUUCACCUUUCCGCCACAAUUCCCAGAGUGUUUAUUUUUGCACUUCCCACACCAUUUUCCUUUAUCUCUUCUUUUUCCAAACUUUGAGGAUAUGUUGCUCUUGUUGGGCCUUGAAGACCCCUCAAAUUUCCUCUUCUUGCCAACUUCAACUUUGUUGGUGGUUGUGUCAUUGAUCAUUUCUCCAAUAGGCUUAGCAACCCUAAUAGGUGCCUCAAGAAUAUAUGUCUAACCUAUUGGCACAAUAAGUUCAUCCUUACUUUGUUGAAGUAAACGUUUUGUUUCUUCCAUCUGUUCACCUAACAUCGUACGUACCAUUGCCUACACUCCAGUCAUCGUGAUUGGCUCAGGCUAUGGAUUAUCACUUCCGAACCCACUUUGAGUACUUGCCAUUUCGAUCUAUACACCAAUCGUAGGUGAACUUAGAUCUUCAUUUUGUUAGAUGUUAAGUCUUCGAAACGUUUAUAUGUUAGUUCCAAUAUCGUAGUCAUACGUUUAGAAUCCUACACACAUAAGGUUUCCAGAUCCGGUCGGCAACAGACCAUAGAUCCGAACAAAUAAUAGCAUCAUUAUAGCUAUAACACAAAACAUUUAGCACAUAAGGGCAUUUUAGGCAUCUUCCCUAAAAUAAACUAGUGCUCGUGUCUAAAAUAUGGUAGACACUCAUCUCACAAUCAUCACUUAGCAUUCUAAGUUCAAGUCUAGAAAUUCUACAAUUUCUUAGUUCGCUUAAACUAAUGCUCUGAUACCAACUGUGACAUCCCCUAAUUUCUCGGCCAGAAAAGACCGAUUUAAUUUAUGCUUUUUAAAAUCAAAUCAGAGAAAUCUUUAUAAAAGAUGUUGCAGAAUUCGUCUCCAAAACAAAAUAUGAUAAAAAUUUGUCAAAACAUUUCUUUAAGAAAUAUAUAAUUUCCUUUUAUAUCAAAACCUCGAGAUGUCAUGUUCCGAUACAAAUCAAAAGCAUAAACAAGACAUUAUAAGCCUUACAACAGUUAUUUAUAACUAAUGGCCUACAAUCCAAAAUCAAUCAUCAUCAUCAUCCGACUAUGCUCGGGGUCCACUACCUGUAAUAUAAAAAGCUGAGUGGGCCAGGCUUGGAAGCCUGGUGAGCAUAUAGGAUUUUCAACCCACAAUAAAUAAUAAACUCUUUAAGUUUAUCAAUCAAUAAAUAAUUUAUUAAUUUCAUCCACCUAAAACAACCCUAUUUACCCAUACCCNAACUAUCCCUCCUUCCUAAGGAUUCAUCCUAAGGAAUAGACAAGAAGUCACCUCGUGACCAGGGUUUAUACAACGGGCACUAAUUCCAUAGCUGCCAAAGUUUAUCCAACAUGUGCUAAGUCCAUAGCUCUCAUUUAUCGACAAUAUUAUUUACAGGUGUUAUCUCCUCCAAUAUAUGUCAAUGGGUUUUAGAGUACAACAAAUGAACAUAUAGUUCAUUACACCUACAGGUUGCGGGCCUGCUAGUGUUCCAUAGACUGUCUAGAAUAGUCCAUGGUUGUCAUCCAUACUCUGCUGAAUGAC